rnacentral:tRNA from 1 species
GGGGAUAUAGCUCAGUGGUGCUGCACCUGCCUGGCAAGCACAAGGUCCUGAGUUCCAUCCCCAGUACCACCA